UUCCUCUCUGGAUUCCAAAAAGGGGCGAACACGAUGAAGGUCACUGCAGCAGCUCUUUGCUUCUUCACACUCUGCCUCCUUGCUUGCUUCAUGGUUGCUAGUGGUGCUUGUCAAGAUUCUAGCUGCCCCAAAUGGUUUUGUUGUAAAUACGAUCCCUACUUCGGUAGGGAAAUUUGCCUGACAUGUAUUCGAUCUUUGGGCCGCUUGAGAGCAUCCUCUCAGACUUAACUAUGCUCCAUGGUAUCUUUGCCUUUCUGGGAGAGAACUAAGUGGAUACUUGAAGCCAGGAUUGCGUAUGCUACCUCAAUAAAUUGAUACGUAUGUAGUUUUCAUAUGAAUAAAGUUUUGCUGUUUAUUUAACUGUC